CCACCCUUGAACGUCCUUUGGUGUCAACACGGCAGGCCUCAUCCUACUGUGAAGAGGAUCAGUUUCACUUACUUGGGCCAAACAAACUUUACUGUGGGAUGCCCGACUCGCCAGCAAGUAAGACACCACAACUGGAUCCUUCUGAAACACGUUUAUUGGGAGAGCAUUGACUGCGUAGGUGAAAGACCCCGAGUCCCAGAACUGGCACUGCUUAAAUAGGCCUAGGAGAGGCGUGUCUACACCUGUUUGGUUAUGCUUUCAGUACCCACAUGCCUUGGGCCAGGCAGUGACUCAGCAAAAAACUCUUAUGCACAUGCGCACAUUGGUUGUUUACCCAUAUUCAGGGGCAUCGGCUUACUGGAACCUGUGCCAUCUUGUAAUGGCGUUUGUGGCUUCCCUCAUCUCCCCCUUUUUUAUUUAAUAGAAAAGGCCUAAUCUGACGAUCUAGUCUCGCACUUCCUCAGCACAAAACGAUCAAGAAGGAUUUAGAAGGGCAAAUCAUGAUCAUCCUACUGCGUGCAUGCGAUGAGGAAACCUCAGGUGUGCAAGGGCUGAUCAAUGAUCGUUGAGUCUCUCUCGUCCCAGUGCAAUGGAUCCAUAGAUCCGUGGUGUGCAAGAGCAGAGGACUCAGAUGCUGACUAAUUCUUGAGCAUAGAUAACCAAACUUCAGGGGAGGCGCUGUUUUCAAUGGCUAAAAGUGCUUGAGUUAUAGUCACCUUGUCACAUUUUUUUUUGGGUUCUGAAUUUGCAAACCAACCAAAGCAUGAAUACCAGUCCACAGCAUAUGGCAGCACAAAACAAAAUCACUCCCACCCAUUCCUAAAAGUAAGAAAAUGCAGAGGUAAGCCAAGAGGUAAAGUCUACAAGGGUCACUGGUUCCAUUAAGGUUCAGGAUCUGUAUCUGCAGCUUCGUCUGCAACCUUUCCAGCUCCUGCGACCAGUUCCCCUUCAGAUAAUUUGAUAAAUCUGUACUUUUAAUGAAAGAAUUGUUAAUAUAACUAACGGGAGUAAUGCACACAUGCGGAGUUGAUGCCACACAACUCAUUUGUAUGACAUCUAUCUGUUCUAUGUUAUGUUGUAAAAUAUCUACUCUUUGAUUCGCUAACAUUAAUCCUGAGGUGAUAUGAGAAUCUGCCUUUUGCAGGGCAAGCAAUGCCUCAGAUGUUUUUUUUCUGCUAUCUGACUUAUGGUGUCAGCAGUAUUAACUUGAUUGGCCAUAGCAAUUCCUGCGGUAACCGCUGACCCCGCGGACACUGCAAUGGCAGUAACAAUGGCAGCUGUGAUUCCAAAAUCUCUCUUCUGCGAACAAGACUCAUGAUUGGGAAGUUCUCUGAAUCUGCCUCAACAGGCACAGGGACAAAGGUUGGUAAAUGUACCACUAAGGCUAAGAAAUUAGUUACAUUCCAGCAUUGUGUCAAAAAACAAGUGACAUUUGUAUAAUCUAACCAUUCUGUAUUAUUUUGAAAUUCAGCCACUAUAAAGAAA
rnacentral:lncRNA from 1 species